UACGGAGGAUGCAAGCGUUAUCCGGAAUGAUUGGGCGUAAAGCGUCCGCAGGUGGCUGUGUAAGUCUGCUGUUAAAGAGUGAGGCUCAACCUCAUAAGAGCAGUGGAAACUACAUAGCUAGAGUGCGUUCGGGGCAGAGGGAAUUCCCGGUGUAGCGGUGAAAUGCGUAGAGAUCGGGAAGAACAUCGGUGGCGAAAGCGCUCUACUGGACCGCAACUGACACUCAGGGACGAAAGCUAGGGGAGCGAAUGGG
rnacentral:rRNA from 1 species